ACCGUUCCGUAGGGGCGCUUCGCUGACAGAGCGAGGCUGAGAAGUUACCCUUCGCACCUGAUCCGGGUAAUGCCGGCGUAGGAAAUCGGAACCGGUCAUCGG
rnacentral:ncRNA from 2 species